AGGCUCAGAGAAAGGCACCUGAGUAAUGACUCCUGUGUUUAUAACAGUACCCAACAGGAAACUAGGGUCGUUGUGAUGAGGGGCACAAAACUUGUGGCCUCCCUAUGGACAAAUGCCCUACAUGU